rnacentral:rRNA from 1 species
UACGGAGGGGGCGAGCGUUAUUCGGAAUUAUUGGGCGUAAAGAGCUCGUAGGCGGUCUGUUACGUCUGCUGUGAAAACCCUGGGCUUAACCCUGGGCUUGCAGUGGAUACGGGCAGACUAGAGGCAGGUAGGGGAGAAUGGAAUUCCCGGUGUAGCGGUGAAAUGCGCAGAUAUCGGGAGGAACACCGGUGGCGAAGGCGGUUCUCUGGGCCUUACCUGACACUGAGGAGCGAAAGCGUGGGGAGCGAACAGG